rnacentral:lncRNA from 1 species
GUACAUUAAAUCGAUGAAACUAAAAAAAAAAGUAAUCCACAAAGUUUCUUAAAUUCUUGUUAAAAAGAUAAAACUAAAAUCAAAUAUUCAUACGUCACAACAAUAAUAUCCACUCAUAUGUUGUAGUAAUUAUAACAAAUUAAACUCUCUAACUGAAAAAAUACAAAAAAUUAAAAAUUGUUUGAUAACUAAAAUUAAAAAGUGCAUAAACAAAUUCUGAUCGGCCCCACGACUAUAUACUUGAACCUGCACAUUGAAUAACAUUUGAAUUAAUUCAAAUUUGUGCAACAUCCUUGAUUUGCCAAAGCAUUAAAAAAAAAAGAGACUCUUGUUGAAAUUCUAUCACAU